CAGCUUGUUGGUGGGGUAACGGCCUACCAAGGCGACGACGGGUAGCUGGUCUGAGAGGACGACCAGCCACACUGGGACUGAGACACGGCCCAGACUCCUACGGGAGGCAGCAGUGGGGAAUCUUGCUCAAUGGGCGAAAGCCUGAAGCAGCGACGCCGCGUGCGGGAUGAAGGCCUUCGGGUCGUAAACCGCUUUCAGCAGGAACGAAAUUGACGGUACCUGCAGAAGAAGGCCCGGCCAACUACGUGCCAGCAGCCGCGGUAAUACGUAGGGGCCUAGCGUUGUCCGGAAUUAUUGGGCGUAAAGAGCUCGUAGGCGGUUUGGUAAGUCGGGUGUGAAAUCUCCACGCUCAACGUGGAGGAGCCACCCGAUACUGCCAUGACUCGAGUCCGGUAGGGGAGUGUGGAAUUCCCGGUGUAGCGGUGAAAUGCGCAGAUAUC
rnacentral:rRNA from 1 species